AUGUCCAUCUCUGUCAAGUAGUUGAUUACCAGGAUGGAAUUGUAGAAUGGUGUAUUGUCCUGGUGCAGGUAAUCUGGCCUUUUACGUACAAAUCUCUACUUAAUUCCACAUAAUCCCCACUCAAAGUAUUCUUUGUUGACCUCUGGCUAGAGGGAACUCAGUGGAUGUUGAUGGUGCCCUUACUGUCGAGAAAGGAGAUAAUCAUGAGCUUCCCAGUGGACUUGUUUGACUUGUCCUCUUGUGUCAAUGAUAAACAGCUGCUCGACUCAUACAAGUUAACCUAUAAGCACCCUGGAGUGCAAUUCAUAAGUUUCUGUUGUGUUUUUUUGCCCAGUUCAACACAAAACUUUAUUGCAUAGCGAACUUCCAAAUUGUCUUCAUGUCCCGACUGUAUUCUACUAAAUAGUCAGCUGUGAAAAGUAAUGUUUAGUAAGGUGUCCUCAAAGUAAUGUUACAGUUGUCUUCUUCAUUUUGGAAUAACGAAAGUUGGCAGCACAGUCUGUUAGAUGUCUAAUAAUAAUAAUAAACUAAAAUUACAGUAAUUUAGGACUGUUUAUAACUGCUUCUCCUAAAAGCAGUCUCAAACCUGCUGAACUGUACUUCGUAUUUGCAUAUUAGCAUGUCAUGUGCUGAAUAGAUAA